rnacentral:rRNA from 1 species
UAGCGAAGGGGGCUAGCGUUGUUUCGGAUUUACUGGGCGUAAAGCGCACGUAGGCGGAUCGACCAGGUCAGGGGUAGAAAUCCCAGAGCUCAACUCUGGAACUGCCUUUGAUACUGUCGAUCUGGAGUAUGGAAGAGGUGAGUGGAAUUCCGAGUGUAGAGGUGAAAUUCGUAGAUAUUCGGAGGAACACCAGUGGCGAAGGCGGCUCACUGGUCCAUUACUGACGCUGAGGUGCGAAAGCGUGGGGAGCAAACAGG